CCUACGGGUGGCUGCAGUGGGGAAUAUUGGACAAUGGGGGCAACCCUGAUCCAGCCAUGCCGCGUGUGUGAAGAAGGCCCUCGGGUUGUAAAGCACUUUCAGUGAGGAAGAACGCCUGGUGGUUAAUACCCAUCAGGAAAGACAUCACUCACAGAAGAAGCACCGGCUAACUCCGUGCCAGCAGCCGCGGUAAUACGGAGGGUGCGAGCAUUAAUCGGAAUUACUGGGCGUAAAGCGCGCGUAGGUGGCUUGAUAAGCCGGUUGUGAAAGCCCCGGGCUCAACCUGGGAACGGCAUCCGGAACUGUCAAGCUAGAGUGCAGGAGAGGAAGGUAGAAUUCCCGGUGUAGCGGUGAAAUGCGUAGAGAUCGGGAGGAAUACCAGUGGCGAAGGCGGCCUUCUGGACUGACACUGACACUGAGGUGCGAAAGCGUGGGUAGCAAACAGGAUUAGAUACCCGUGUAGUC
rnacentral:rRNA from 1 species